rnacentral:tRNA from 1 species
UAGAGAAAUAGGAGUUGAACCU